CUACGGGAGGCAGCAGUGGGGAAUAUUGCACAAUGGGCGCAAGCCUGAUGCAGCAACGCCGCGUGAACGAAGAAGGCCUUCGGGUCGUAAAGUUCUUUUCUCGAGGAAGAAGAAAUGACGGUACUCGAGGAAUAAGCACCGGCUAACUACGUGCCAGCAGCCGCGGUAAUACGUAGGGUGCAAGCGUUAUCCGGAAUCACUGGGCGUAAAGGGUGCGUAGGCGGCUAGACAAGUCAGAAGUGAAAGGCAGUGGCUCAACCACUGUAAGCUUUUGAAACUGUUUAACUUGAAUGCAGGAGAGGCAAGUGGAAUUCCUAGUGUAGCGGUGAAAUGCGUAGAUAUUAGGAGGAACACCAGUGGCGAAGGCGACUUGCUGGACUGUAAUUGACGCUGAGGCACGAAAGCGUGGGGAGCAAACAGGAUUAGAUACCCCGGU
rnacentral:rRNA from 1 species